GAUGAACGCUGGCGGCGUGCCUAAUACAUGCAAGUCGAGCGAACAGACGAGGAGCUUGCUUCUCUGACGUUAGCGGCGGACGGGUGAGUAACACGUGGAUAACCUACCUAUAAGACUGGGAUAACUUCGGGAAACCGGAGCUAAUACCGGAUAAUAUAUUGAACCGCAUGGUUCAAUAGUGAAAGACGGUUUUGCUGUCACUUAUAGAUGGAUCCGCGCCGCAUUAGCUAGUUGGUAAGGUAACGGCUUACCAAGGCAACGAUGCGUAGCCGACCUGAGAGGGUGAUCGGCCACACUGGAACUGAGACACGGUCCAGACUCCUACGGGAGGCAGCAGUAGGGAAUCUUCCGCAAUGGGCGAAAGCCUGACGGAGCAACGCCGCGUGAGUGAUGAAGGUCUUCGGAUCGUAAAGCUCUGUUAUUAGGGAAGAACAAAUGUGUAAGUAACUAUGCACGUCUUGACGGUACCUAAUCAGAAAGCCACGGCUAACUACGUG
rnacentral:rRNA from 1 species